rnacentral:rRNA from 1 species
UAGGGAAUCUUCGGCAAUGGGGGGAACCCUGACCGAGCAACGCCGCGUGAGUGAAGAAGGUUUUCGGAUCGUAAAGCUCUGUUGUUAAGGAAGAACGAGUGUGAGAAUGGAAAGUUCAUACUGUGACGGUACUUAACCAGAAAGGGACGGCUAACUACGUGCCAGCAGCCGCGGUAAUACGUAGGUCCCGAGCGUUGUCCGGAUUUAUUGGGCGUAAAGCGAGCGCAGGCGGUCAAUUAAGUCUGAUGUGAAAGCCCCCGGCUCAACCGGGGAGGGUCAUUGGAAACUUGUUGACUUGAGUGCAGAAGAGGAGAGUGGAAUUCCAUGUGUAGCGGUGAAAUGCGUAGAUAUAUGGAGGAACACCAGUGGCGAAGGCGACUCUCUGGUCUGUAACUGACGCUGAGGCUCGAAAGCGUGGGUAGCAAACAGG